rnacentral:rRNA from 1 species
CAAUAGCGUAUAUUAAAGUUGUUGCGGUUAAAAAGCUCGUAGUUGGAUUUCUGCUGAGAACGACCGGUCCGCCCUUUGGGUGUGUAUCUGGCUCUUUCUUGGCAUCUUCUUGGUGAACGUUGCUGCACUUGACUGUGUGGAGCGCUACCCAGGACUUUUACUUUGAGGAAAUUAGAGUGUUUCAAGCAGGCAUACGCCUUGAAUACAUUGGCAUGGAAUAAUAAGAUAGGACCUCGGUUCUAUUUUGUUGGUUUCUAGAGCUGAGGUAAUGAUUAAUAGGGAUAGUUGGGGGCAUUCGUAUUUAACUGUCAGAGGUGAAAUUCUUGGAUUUGUUAAAGACGGACUACUGCGAAANCANNNGCCAAGGAUGUUUNCAUNGA